rnacentral:rRNA from 1 species
GAUGAACGCUGGCGGCGUGCCUAAUACAUGCAAGUCGAGCGAAUGGAUUGAGAGCUUGCUCUUAUGAAGUUAGCGGCGGACGGGUGAGUAACACGUGGGUAACCUGCCCAUAAGACUGGGAUAACUCCGGGAAACCGGGGCUAAUACCGGAUAACAUUUUGAACCGCAUGGUUCGAAAUUGAAAGGCGGCUUCGGCUGUCACUUAUGGAUGGACCCGCGUCGCAUUAGCUAGUUGGUGAGGUAACGGCUCACCAAGGCAACGAUGCGUAGCCGACCUGAGAGGGUGAUCGGCCACACUGGGACUGAGACACGGCCCAGACUCCUACGGGAGGCAGCAGUAGGGAAUCUUCCGCAAUGGACGAAAGUCUGACGGAGCAACGCCGCGUGAGUGAUGAAGGCUUUUGGGUCGUAAAACUCUGUUGUUAGGGAAGAACAAGUGCUAGUUGAAUAAGCUGGCACCUUGGCGGUACCUAACCAGAAAGCCACGGCUAACUACGUGCCAGCAGCCGCCGUAA